GAUGAACGCUGGCGGCGUGCCUAAUACAUGCAAGUCGAGCGAACGGACGAGAAGCUUGCUUCUCUUAUGUUAGCGGCGGACGGGUGAGUAACACGUGGAUAACCUACCUAUAAGACUGGGAUAACUUCGGGAAACCGGAGCUAAUACCGGAUAAUAUUUUGAACCGCAUGGUUCAAAAGUGAAAGACGGUCUUGCUGUCACUUAUAGAUGUAUCCGCGCUGCAUUAGCUAGUUGGUAAGGUAACGGCUUACCAAGGCAACGAUGCAUAGCCGACCUGAGAGGGUGAUCGGCCACACUGGAACUGAGACACGGUCCAGACUCCUACGGGAGGCAGCAGUAGGGAAUCUUCCGCAAUGGGCGAAAGCCUGACGGAGCAACGCCGCGUGAGUGAUGAAGGUCUUCGGAUCGUAAAACUCUGUUAGUAGGGAAGAACAUAUGUGUAAGUAACUGUGCACAUCUUGACGGUACCUAAUCAGAAAGCCACGGCUAACUACGUG
rnacentral:rRNA from 1 species